rnacentral:rRNA from 1 species
CCUACGGGUGGCAGCAGUGGGGAAUAUUGGGCAAUGGGCGCAAGCCUGACCCAGCAACGCCGCGUGAAGGAAGAAGGCUUUCGGGUUGUAAACUUCUUUUAAGAGGGAAGCGCAGAAGACGGUACCUCUUGAGUAAGCCACGGCUAAAUACGUGCCAUCAGUCGCGGUAAUACGGAGGUGGCAAGCGUUGUCCGGAUUUAAUGGGUGUAAAGGGCGUGUUGCCGGGCUGAGAACUCAGAUGUGAAAUUCCGGGGCCCAACCCCGGACCUGCAUUUGAAACUGGUGGUCUUGAGUAUCGGAGAGGCAGGCGGGAUUCCUAGUGUAGCGGUGAAAUGCGUAGAUAUUAGGAGGAACCCCAGUGGCGAAGGCGGCCUGCUGGACGACAACUGACGGUGAGGCGCGAAAGCGUGGGGAUCAAACAGGAUUAGAUACCCCUGUAGUC